AGAGUUUGAUCCUGGCUCAGGAUGAACGCUGGCGGCGUGCUUAACACAUGCAAGUCGAACGAAGCACCAUGGACAGAAUUUUUCGGAAGGACGACUAUGGCGACUUAGUGGCGGACGGGUGAGUAACGCGUGGGUAACCUGCCCUGUACCGGGGGACAACAGUUGGAAACGACUGCUAAUACCGCAUAAGCGCACAGCAUCGCAUGAUGCAGUGUGAAAAACUCCGGUGGUACAGGAUGGACUCGCG
rnacentral:rRNA from 1 species